rnacentral:rRNA from 1 species
GUCCACGCUGUAAACGAUGAUGACUGGGUGUGGGAGGUAUUGAACCCUUCCGUGCCGAAGCGAACGCGAUAAGUCAUCCGCCUGGGGAGUACGGCCGCAAGGUUAAAACUCAAAGGAAUUGACGGGGGCCCCGCACAAGCAGCGGAGCGUGUGGUUUAAUUCGAUGCGACACGAAGAACCUUACCUGGGUUUGACAUGGUAGUGGUACUGAAGCGAAAGCUAAGGGACCCGCAAGGGAGCUAUCACAGGUGCUGCAUGGCUGUCGU